rnacentral:rRNA from 1 species
CUUGACUGUAGCCUGGAAUUGGGUUCGGGCUUUUCUUGCGCAGACUAGGUGGGAGGCUAUGAAGAUUUCCUUCCGGGGAAGUUGGAGCCAACAGUGAGAGACCACUCUGGAAAGGCUAGAAUCCUCAUGGUGAUCCUUGAAUCAGGACACUUGACAGUUUCAGGUGGGCAGUUUUUCUGGGGCGGAAGCCUCAUAAAGGGUAACUGAGGCGCGCAAAGGUCCCCUCAGUCUGGACGGAAAUCAGACAACGAGUGUAAAGGCAAAAGGGGGCUUGACUGCAAGACCUACAAGUCGAGCAGGAGCGAAAGCUGGCCUUAGUGAUCCGACGGUACCGCGUGGAAGGGCCGUCGCUCAACGAAUAAAAGUUA